GACGAACGCUGGCGGCGUGCUUAACACAUGCAAGUCGAACGGAAAGGCCCUGCUUUUGUGGGGUGCUCGAGUGGCGAACGGGUGAGUAACACGUGAGUAACCUGCCCUUGACUUUGGGAUAACUUCAGGAAACUGGGGCUAAUACCGGAUAGGAGCUCCUGCUGCAUGGUGGGGGUUGGAAAGUUUCGGCGGUUGGGGAUGGACUCGCGGCUUAUCAGCUUGUUGGUGGGGGAGUGGCUUACCAAGGCGUUGACGGGUAGCCGGCCUGAGAGGGUGACCGGCCACAUUGGGACUGAGAUACGGCCCAGACUCCUACGGGAGGCAGCAGUGGGGAAUAUUGCACAAUGGGCGGAAGCCUGAUGCAGCAACGCCGCGUGCGGGAUGACGGCCUUCGGGUUGUAAACCGCUUUCGCCUGUGACGAAGCGUGAGUGACGGUAAUGGGUAAAGAAGCACCGGCUAACUACGUG
rnacentral:rRNA from 1 species